ensembl:lncRNA
UAAUGAUAUCAGUAAUUAACUCAUUAAUGUUCAACACUGAGAGUGUGAAAACACACACACACGCACACACACACGCACGCACGCACGCACACACACACACACACACACACACACACACACACACACACACACACACACACACACACACACACACACACACGUGUAUUCGUGCCGGUUCGGGUCCGUUCUUUGCGGUGUCAGAGGUGCCGGUGAGUCCGGCUCGGCCUGACCCGGAGCCCGGAUCCACCCGGAACCAGUCCGCGGACAGGAAGCGACCAUUUCAGGGCUGGAAGCAUCAGAGGAGAGAAGGACCGUCGUCUGCGGAGGGAGGGCACCGUAAACACCGCACAGCGGGCCGAGGAGGCCGAGCACUACACCCGAACAAAGGAUCCGGACCCCUGGGGACACACGCCGGGCCGAGCCGGGCCAUAGGUUCUGUUGGUGGGUCAGAAUCUACAACCGAUAGAGGGUCGGGCCUUCAUCGCCUGGAUGAAAGCAGCAGCCCCGGUGACGGGUGGCAGAGACCCCGUUCUCUCGGUGCUCCACAUCCGCGGUGUUUCCUUGGAGAUACGGCCGCGUUUGUGAGCAGUUUUUCAGGGAGAGACAUCGGACUCUUUCCGAGUCCAGCUGAGAGGUACGUGCUUCAGGGGAGACUGUGGACCAAAGCCCGCCCGCUGGGCUCCGACUGGCGGCCUCUGAACACUCGGAUUGGAUGAGGACGCAGAUGACAGUGCAGCGACAGGAAGUUCUUCCACACGUUCCAGGACCAGUGAGCCCAGUGGCGAUGGUUAUGGGACGCUUCACUGCAAACUGUGCUGUUAUUCUAACGUAAUAUUUCUGACCAAUGGAAAGCACUUAGCAGUGAGAUUAGAAACCUGACUGAUGGGUCUGUGUGUGAACCGUUAAGACGUGGUUGGUUUAAGGGCUCGGUCACUACAGACUACAGUUUGCAGUGGGGGGGGGGGUGGACACACG